GAUGAACGCUGGCGGCGUGCUUAACACAUGCAAGUCGAACGGAAAGGCCCUGCUUUUGUGGGGUGCUCGAGUGGCGAACGGGUGAGUAACACGUGAGUAACCUGCCCUUGACUUUGGGAUAACUUCAGGAAACUGGGGCUAAUACCGGAUAGGAGCUCCUGCUGCAUGGUGGGGGUUGGAAAGUUUCGGCGGUUGGGGAUGGACUCGCGGCUUAUCAGCUUGUUGGUGGGGUAGUGGCUUACCAAGGCUUUGACGGGUAGCCGGCCUGAGAGGGUGACCGGCCACAUUGGGACUGAGAUACGGCCCAGACUCCUACGGGAGGCAGCAGUGGGGAAUAUUGCACAAUGGGCGGAAGCCUGAUGCAGCAACGCCGCGUGCGGGAUGACGGCCUUCGGGUUGUAAACCGCUUUCGCCUGUGACGAAGCGUGAGUGACGGUAAUGGGGAAAGAAGCACCGGCUAACUACGU
rnacentral:rRNA from 1 species